AACUCUUAAAGUUGCAGCAACAGAUGGAUCAAAACGACAGUGUGGUGUUUCUGAAGGAGGAAGCUGGUCGCAAGCGAAAGUAGGACAUUGUCUUGAUGGAAACAUUGUAAGUUUUUGUGGAACUCAAAACAUUUCUACUGCUUAGUUUAUAACCAGCUGUUAAAUAUUUCCAGGGUUUGUGAUGAAGCCAAACUACUGUCGGUGGUAGAUGAUGCCUUGCAGAUUGAAAAGUUUAAUUGCCCUGUUUUCUUGAACACGACAUUCAAGCAAGUCUCCGUCACCCUGGAUGUGGAAACAGCGCAUCCGUGGCUUGAGGUGUCCGAGGAUCGGAAGAG